GGAGCGGUGGCAGAGCCAGGUUGAAUGCAGCUGCCUUGAAAGCAGCCGGCCGGAGACGGCCCGGGGGUUCGAAUCCCUCCCGCUCCG
rnacentral:tRNA from 1 species